AAUAGAUACCCUGGUAGUCCACGCCGUAAACGAUGAGUGCUAAGUGUUGGGGGGUUUCCGCCCCUCAGUGCGUGCAGCUAACGCAUUAAGCACUCCGCCUGGGGAGUACGGUCGCAAGACUGAAACUCAAAGGAAUUGGACGGGGGCCCGCACAAGCGGUGGAGCAUGUGGUUUAAUUCGAAGCAACGCGAAGAACCUUACCAGGCCUUGACAUCCCGGUGACCACUAUGGAGACAUAGUUUCCCCUUCGGGGGCAACGGUGACAGGUGGUGCAUGGUUGUCGUCAGCUCGUGUCGUGAGAUGUUGGGUUAAGUCCCGCAACGAGCGCAACCCUUAUUCUUAGUUGCCAUCAUUUCAGUUGGGCACUCUAAGGAGACUGCCGGUGAUAAACCGGAGGAAGGUGGGGAUGACGUCAAAUCAUCAUGCCCCUUAUGACCUGGGCUACACACGUGCUACAAUGGACGGUACAAACGGUUGCCAACCCGCGAGGGGAGCUAAUCCGAUAAAACCGUUCUCAGUUACGGAUUGUAGGCUGCAACUCGCCUACAUAC
rnacentral:rRNA from 1 species